UACGGAGGGGGCUAGCGUUGUUCGGAAUUACUGGGCGUAAAGCGCACGUAGGCGGCGAUCUAAGUCAGAGGUGAAAGCCCGGGGCUCAACCCCGGAAUAGCCUUUGAGACUGGAUUGCUAGAAUCUUGGAGAGGCGAGUGGAAUUCCGAGUGUAGAGGUGAAAUUCGUAGAUAUUCGGAAGAACACCAGUGGCGAAGGCGGCUCGCUGGACAAGUAUUGACGCUGAGGUGCGAAAGCGUGGGGAGCAAACAGG
rnacentral:rRNA from 1 species